rnacentral:tRNA from 1 species
AGAGGUAUGUCUCAGCAGUGAAGAACCUGCCUGAUAAGCAUGAGGUCCUGAGUUCAAAACCUCAGUAUCACCA